ACCAAAUUGGCUCAGUUGGUUAGAAUGUGAUGCUGAUAAUGCCAAGGUUGCAGGUUUGAUCCCCAUUUGGGC